AUUGAACGCUGGCGGCAUGCUUUACACAUGCAAGUCGAACGGUAACAGGCCGCAAGGUGCUGACGAGUGGCGAACGGGUGAGUAAUGCAUCGGAACGUGCCCAGUCGUGGGGGAUAACGCAGCGAAAGCUGUGCUAAUACCGCAUACGAUCUAUGGAUGAAAGCGGGGGACCGUAAGGCCUCGCGCGAUUGGAGCGGCCGAUGUCAGAUUAGGUAGUUGGUGGGGUAAAGGCUCACCAAGCCAACGAUCUGUAGCUGGUCUGAGAGGACGACCAGCCACACUGGGACUGAGACACGGCCCAGACUCCUACGGGAGGCAGCAGUGGGGAAUUUUGGACAAUGGGCGCAAGCCUGAUCCAGCAAUGCCGCGAGCAGGAAGAAGGCCUUCGGGUUGUAAACUGCUUUUGUACGGAACGAAAAGGUUUGGGUUAAUACCCUGGGCCGAUGACGGUACCGUAAGAAUAAGCACCGGCUAACUACGUGCCAGCAGCCGCCGUAAAAC
rnacentral:rRNA from 1 species